AUUGAACGCUGGCGGCAUGCCUCACACAUGCAAGUCGAACGGUAACAGGUCUUCGGAUGCUGACGAGUGGCGAACGGGUGAGUAAUACAUCGGAACGUGCCCGAGAGUGGGGGAUAACGAGGCGAAAACUUUGCUAAUACCGCAUACGAUCUCAGGAUGAAAGCAGGGGACCGCAAGGCCUUGCGCUCACGGGGCGGCCGAUGGCAGAUUAGGUAGUUGGUGGGAGAAAAGCUUACCAAGCCGACGAUCUGUAGCUGGUCUGAGAGGACGACCAGCCACACUGGGACUGAGACACGGCCCAGACUCCUACGGGAGGCAGCAGUGGGGAAUUUUGGACAAUGGGCGCAAGCCUGAUCCAGCCAUGCCGCGUGCAGGAUGAAGGCCUUCGGGUUGUAAACUGCUUUUGUACGGAACGAAAAGACUCUGGUUAAUACCUGGGGUCCAUGACGGUACCGUAAGAAUAAGCACCGGCUAACUACGUGCCAGCCGCCGCCGUAAAAC
rnacentral:rRNA from 1 species